GCCGCUAGCUUGGUUGUGGACUUUGGUUAUGAUUGAAUGUUAAUUACCCUUUCAGGUCAAAUAAUUCAUAUUCACAAAUUUGGAUUUCCAAAUUAACACCUAGAAUUAUCUUGGCUUAGUAGAGGAUAGAUAGUACUAGAGACAAUUGGGGCCGAAGGAACUUGUCUAGUGGGUUAGAGCGGUAGAAGGGCCAUUGCAGGUCUUGAAAUCUAUAUCUAUAUCUAUAUCUAUAUCUAUAUCUAUAUCUAUAUCUAUAUCUAUAUCUAUAUCUAUAUCUAUAUCUAUAUCUAUAUCUAUAUCUAUAUCUAUAAAUUUUGAAUCGCCACAAACAAUCUAUCUUAACAUGCAAAGUGUCUAUAUUGGCAUCCAUUAACACAUGUAACUAUUUACUUAUGCAAAGUGUCCACACAUCAACAUCCACUAGCACAUCGAACUAGUACAUGUCAAUAUGUCUUCAUUCGAACUAUUCAUAUUUACAAACCCCAUUAUUUACUAAAAUAUUUAGUUAUUCUAAAAAUCACCCACUAACAUGUAUUACGAUAUUUAUUAGUUCAUAUAAGUAAAUAUAAGUAGUAUAAUUUCAUCUACGAUCUUUCAGCAAAAUGCAGGGCAUUUUUCUAGUUUAUUUAGAAGUUAAAGCUAUAAUAAAUAACUAAGUGGGGGCAUCAGGGGGUGAAGUCUAGUGGAGGUGAAACUAGGCUUCUACCCUCUCUUUCCCCUGUGUGGCUUUACUGAACUCAGUUGUUGCGUCUAUUGCUGUUGAAGUAUGGUAAGAUGAUGAACAAGUGUGAGUGACAGUGCAAGAGACACCGGAGAUGGCUGAGUAGAUUUUACCUUGGUGGCUCAUUCUUUCUUCACCGUCACACGAUCGACUAAUUAUUAUCUAAUUUUAUAAUUUGACCACAAAGUCAUUUCUUCGUCUCAAAGUGCGUUUAACAUAGUUGUAGAUUCUUGUAGAAACAUUUUAGAUCUAGAUUUUCUUCAAAAACAUUGUCCUGAUAAAUCAAAAUCACUUUUAUAAAAUUGUUUGGCUAGUUUGCUGGAUUCUUAGAGCAUCUCUAAUAGUUUGUAAAAAACAGUUGAUAGGUGUUAUUCUCACAAAGACACUUCAAGAGUGUUCAAAUCCCACUAUAGUUAUCCAAUACAGAAAGGGACAAUUGUGCAACUGCCCCUAUUCUGAAGCUCAAUUUCUCGUUUGCCCCUAUUUUUAAAACAUUGCUUGUUUGCUCCUGUUUUUACAAGACGAAUCCACCAUUUGCCCCUCUUUUCUUCAUCCGUUAGUUGGUGAAACAUUUAGACCCAAAAAAAAAGAUUGAGAAAAAAGAAAAAGAGAAAAAAAAAACCAAAAUGCCCCUUAUCCUUUCGUUCCCGUCCCUUCGCUCGCGAACGAGUUCCGUCGCUCGCGACGCUUGCGGCUGGACGACGACUGCUAGGGUUCCGGCGCUGGGGAUUUGCAGGUGCAGGAGGCAGGCAGGUGAGCCGCAGGAGGCAG
rnacentral:lncRNA from 1 species